AGAGCGAACGCUGGCGGCAGGCUUAACACAUGCAAGUCGAGCGCUCGUAGCAAUACGAGAGCGGCAGACGGGAGAGUAACACGUGGGAACGUACCCUUCGGUUCGGAAUAACUCAGGGAAACUUGAGCUAAUACCGAAUACGUCCGUAAGGAGAAAGAUUUAUCGCCGAGGGAUCGGCCCGCGUCCGAUUAGCUAGUUGGUAGGGUAAUGGCUUACCAAGGCUACGAUCGGUAGCUGGUCUGAGAGGAUGAUCAGCCUCACUGGGACUGAGACACGGCCCAGACUCCUACGGGAGGCAGCAGUGGGGAAUAUUGGACAAUGGGCGCAAGCCUGAUCCAGCCAUGCCGCGUGAGUGAUGAAGGCCUUAGGGUUGUAAAGCUCUUUCAGCGGGGAAGAUAAUGACGGUACCCGCAGAAGAAGCCCGGCUAACUUCGCGCCAGCACGCCGC
rnacentral:rRNA from 1 species